rnacentral:rRNA from 1 species
ACGGGACUCUUCGGAGUUCAGUGGCGGACGGGUGAGUAACGCGUGAGAAUCUGCCUAGAGGAUGGGGACAACCACGGGAAACUGUGGCUAAUACCCAAUGAGCGGAGACGUUAAAGAUUUAUCGCCUCUAGAGGAGCUCGCGUCUGAUUAGCUAGUUGGUGGGGUAAAAGCCUACCAAGGCGACGAUCAGUAGCUGGUCUGAGAGGACAACCAGCCACACUGGGACUGAGACACGGCCCAGACUCCUACGGGGGGCAGCAGUGGGGAAUUUUCCGCAAUGGGCGAAAGCCUGACGGAGCAAUACCGCGUGAGGGAGGAAGGCUCUUGGGUCGUAAACCUCUUUUCUCAGGGAAGAAGAAAGUGACGGUACCUGAGGAAUCAGCCUCGGCUAACUCCGUGCCAGCAGCCGCGGUAAUACGGAGGAGGCAAGCGUUAUCCGGAAUUAUUGGGCGUAAAGCGUCCGUAGGUGGCUCUUCAAGUCUGCUGUCAAAGAGUGGGGCUUAACUCCAGAAAGGCAGUGGAAACUGAAAGGCUAGAGAUCCGUAGGGGUAGAGGGAAUUCCCGGUGUAGCGGUGAAAUGCGUAGAGAUCGGGAAGAACAUCGGUGGCGAAAGCGCUCUACUGGACGGUAUCUGACACUGAGGGACGAAAGCUAGGGGAGCGAAUGGGAUUAGAUACCCCAGUAGUCCUAGCCGUAAACGAUGGAUACUAG